rnacentral:lncRNA from 1 species
AAAGAGUUGGCUUACAAUCGCCACUUCACACAAUACAUAAAUAUAGCAUUACAUCAUCCAGAAUACAAUCAAGGUCUGACUACGGAACCAACAUAAAUAAAGACAACCCCAAAUGCAUAGAUCCCCGAUCGUACCAACUGGGCUCCACUACUGAUCAACAAGAAAUGAAACAACACAAUGAACACGAUCUUCAUCGAGCUCCCACUUGAGCUCAGUUGUGUCAUCUGCGCUGGUAUCAUCGGCACCUGCAACUGUUUGGAAGUAUCUGCUAGCCACGAGGACUCAGCAAUCUCACACCUGCGAGAUCAAAACUAUUUAAGCUUAUGGGUAGGAAAGGGUAGUGAGGUGGAGCUGGAGAAAGCACUAAGCAUAUAUGGUGGCUAACAUACGCAAAUAAGAGCGAGAAGAGAAGCCACACAAAGGUCGUGAAGCUAGAAAUGAUCAAGAAGUGGUCCUGAAACUACUUACAUUCAAACAUAACACAAGAACCGUGUUCACUUCCUGGACUCCGCCGAAAAGAGACCAUCAUGGCAACACACGCGGUUGAUUCAUUUUAAUUAAGUUAAGUGACAAGUUCUCUACAACCGGACAUUAACAAAUUCCCAUCUGCCCAUAACCGCGGGCACGGCUUUUGAAAGUUCAAAACCCUGCAGGGGUGUCCCAACUUAGCCCAUCACAAGCUCUCACGGUCAAUGAAGGAUAUUCCUUCUCCCGAGAAGACCCGAUCAGACUCGGAAUCCCGGUUACAAAACAUCGCGAAAAUGGUAAAACAAGACCAGCAAGACCACCCGCUGUGCCGACAAAUCCUGAUAGGAGCUGCACAUAUCUCAUUCUCAGGGCACACUGGAUAAGCUAAGCAUACAAGAACCAACAUAACCCAAGUUGCCAAGGGACGGCCCCGCAUGGUGCUCUAGUUUGGGAACGCUCAGAGGAGCACUGGCUCGGGGGUUUAAAAUAAAGAUGACCCUUGAGUCUACAGAACCCAAGGGAAAAAGGCAUAGGUGGAAAAUGGUAAAACCAAGGUUGGGCAUUGCUGGAGGAGUUUUAUUCAAGGCGAACUGUCAAGGGGUUCCCAUUGUAACCCAACCACGUAAGGAACGCACAAUCAAGGAGCAUAACAUCGGUAUGACGGAAACUAGGGCGGCAAGAGUGGAACAAAACACCAGGCAUAAGGCCGAGUGAUACGUCUCCAACGUAUCUAUAAUUUUUGAUUGCUGCAUGCUAUAUUAUCUACUGUUUUGGACAAUAUUGGGCUUCAUUAUGCACUUUAAUAUUCUUUUUGGGACUAACCUAUUAACCAGAGGCCCAGCCCAGAAUUGCUGUUUUUUUGCCUAUUUCAGUGUUUCAAAGAAAAGGAAUAUCAAACGGAGUCAAAACGGAAUGAAACCAACUGGAGAAGUUAUUUUUGGAAGGAAAGCUACCGGAAAAACUUGGAGUGCACGUCAGGAAAGGGACGAGGGAGCCACGAGGCAGGGGGGCACGCCCACCCCCCUAGGGCGCGCCCUCCACCCUCGUGGGCCCCUCGUGGCUCCCCUAACGUACUUCUUUCACCCAUAUAUACCCACGUACCCUAAAGCUAUCGAGGGGCAGAAUAGAUCGGGAGUUCCGCCGCCAGAAGCCUCCGUAGCCACCGAAAGCCAAUCUAGACCCGUUCUGGCACCCUGCCGGAGGGGGAAUCCUUCUCCAGUGGCCAUCUUCAUCAUCCCGGUGCUCUCCAUGACGAGGAGGGAGUAGUUCUCCCUCGGGGCUGAGGGUAUGUACCAGUAGAUAUGGUUUUGAUCUCUCUCUCUCUCUCUCUCUCUCUCUCGUGUUCUUGAGGUGGUACGAUCUUGAUGUAUCGCGAGCUUUGCUAUUAUAGUUGGAUCUUAUGAUGUUUUCUCCCCCCUAUACUCUCUUGUAAUGGAUUGAGUUUCCCCUUUGAAGUUAUCUUAUUGGAUUGAGUCUAUAAAGAUUUGAGAACACUUGAUGUAUGUAUUGUCGUGCGUAUCUGUGGUGACAAUGGGAUACCACGUGAAUCACUUGAUGUAUGUUUUGGUGAUCAACUUGCAUGUUCCGCCCAUGAACCUAUGCAUAGGGGUUGGCACACGUUUUCGUCGUGAUUCUCCGGUAGAAACUUUGGGGCACUCUUUGAGGUUCUAUGUGUUGGUUGAAUAGAUGAAUCUGAGAUUGUGUGAUGCAUAUCGCAUAAUCAUACCCACGGAUACUUGAGGUGACAUUGGAGUCUCUAGGUGACAUUAGGGUUUUGGUUAAUUUUUGUCUUAAGGUGUUAUUCUAGUACGAACUCUAGGACUAUUUGUGACACUUAUAGGAAUAGCCCAACGGAUUGAUUGGAAAGAAUAACUUUGUGGUGGUUUCGUACCCUACCAUAAUCUCUUCGUUUGUUCUCCGCUAGUAGUGACUCUGGAGUGACUCUUCGUUGCAUGUUGAGGGAUAGUUGUAUGAUCUAAUUUUGUUAUUAUUGUUGAGGGAACUUGCACUAGUGAAAGUAUGAACCCUAGGCCUUGUUUCAACGCAUUGCAAUACCGUUUACGCUCACUUUUAUCAUUAGUUAGCUUGCUGUUUUUAUAUUUUCAGAUUACUAAUACCUUUAUCUACCAUCCAUACACCACUUGUAUCACCAUCUCUUCGCCGAACUAGUGCACCUAUACAAUUUACCAUUGUAUUGGGUGUGUUGGGGACACAAGAGACUCUUUGUUAUUUGGUUGCAGGGUUGCUUGAAAGAGACCAUCUUCAUCCUACGCCUCCUACGGAUUGAUAAACCUUAGGUCAUCCACUUGAGGGAAAUUUGCUACUGUCCUACAAACCUCUGCACUUGGAGGCCCAACAACGUCUACAAGAAGAAGGUUGUGUAGUAUACAUCAAGCUCUUUUCUGGCGCCAUUGCCGGGGAGGUGAGUGCUUGAAGGUAUAUCUUUAGAUCUUGCAAUCGAAUCUUUUUGUUUCUUGUUUUAGCACUAGUUUAGUUUAUAAAAGAAAACUAUAUAAAAAAUGGAAUUAAUUUUGCCUCAUACGUUUCAUCUUUUAAAUAUCUUUCGUGAGUAUGAUGGAAAGGAAAAUUGUGCCAAAGUGUUAGAAGAAGAAUGCAUAAAAUGUUUGGCACUAAAUCUUUGAAUGAUGAGCAUGAUUGCAAUGUUGUUAGUAUGAACUCCUUGAACAUCCAUAGUACUAAUGAUGAUUGCACUAGUUAUGAUUAAAAUGUCUCCUAUAAACAUGUCAAUUUUUGUGGAGUGCAUUGGGUUUGCAAGUACAUACCAAAUAGGGAAGAUAUAUAUUGCAAGAGGCAUAAGUACUUAGAAACUAAAUUGUUGCAAGAAAGUCUUGAUGAUUGUGCUGAAAAAUUCAAUAUUUUUCACGCCCCUUGUGAACUUUGCAAUGAACAUGGUCAUUUAAAUCUCCAAUGCAAAUUGUUUCAUGACCGAAUCAUAUCCAAAAAUUGUGGUAAUUUGAUUACUCUUGAGCAUCAUAAAGAGCUUAGUCUUCUUUUGUAGUAUGAGGAAAUGAAACAUAUUACCGAGGGUAUUCCAAAGUUUAUUCUUGAUAGAUUUCUUGAUUUUGAUCUAGAGAAGAUUUAUAUGUAUUGUGCGGUGAAUUGCUUUGAAAAUCCUUAUAUUGCCAAUUACACAAAGAAAAGAAAACAAAUAGAAGAUGAAGAGAAUAGUAAUGAAAGGGAAGAGACUUCCCAAUACCCUCCUAUUAUUUCUUAUGAUGAAUCAGGUAACAAGGAGGAGCCUCCUAUUCAACCAAUCUCAUUAAUAAGGAGCUCCAAAAAGAGGAUUGAACCCACACAUGAUGUGGUGAAGAAGAAGAAAAGAAAAAGUAAGAGAGGUAAAAAGAUAUCUCUCCCAAAUAAUGCUGCUCCUAUUACUAUUGUGCCUCAUGAAAAUAUAAUUAUGGAAGAUAAUGAUACUUCUUAUGAUCUUGAAAUCUUUUUGGCACUUGCUUGGAAGAAUAUGAUAAUUGCUAUACUAUUGGUGCUAUCCAUACUAUUAAUGAUGAGAGUGAUUAUGCUUAUGAUAUGAGAAGGCCUAAGCUUGGGGAUGCUAUGUUUGAUGAAGAUGAUGUUUUUGACAAUAUAUUUGCUGCAAUUAAUAUUUGUCCCAAGCUUGGGGAUGCUACGUUUAAUGAAGAUGAUAUUUUUAGUCUCCCAUGUUUUGAUAUGCAAAUUUAUAAUGAUGAUAGCAUGCCUCCUACCUAUGAUGAUUAUUGUGAUGAUACUUAUGCUAUAAAAAGUAGUGAUUAUAUUUAGAAAACUUGUCAUGAUUAUGAUUACUCCUUCUCUGAACAUUACUCUUUUAAUGUGGAAACAAUUUAUUGUAUUCAAGUCCCUUAUGAUACUCCCACUAUUCCGAAUGAGAAGAAUUUUGCUUAUGUGGAGAGUAGUAAAUUUUCUAUGCUUGUAGAUCAUGAAAAGAAUGCUUUAGGUGCUGGUUAUAUUGUUGAAUUCAUUCAUGAUGCUACUUAAAAUUAUUAUGAGGGAGGGACAUAUGCUUGUAGGAAUUGCAAUAAUAUCAAGUUUCCUCUUUAUGUCCUUCAAGUUAUGAAGUUAUGCUUGUUUUGCUUUCCUAUGCAAGUUGAUUCUUGUUGCCGCAAGUUGUUUGCUCACAAAAUCCCUAUGCAUAGGAAUUGGGUUAGACUUAAAUGUGCUAGUCAUAUUCUUCAUGAUGCUCUCUUUAUGUUUCAAUUCUUACCCUUUAUGUGAGCAUCAUUGAAAUCAUCAUGCCUAGCUAGGGGCGUUAAACGAUAGCGCUUGUUGGGAGGCAACCCAAUUUUAUUUUUGUUCCUUGCUUUUUCUCCUGUUUAGUAAUAAAUAAUUUAUCUAGCCUCUGUUAUGAUUGAGUUUUUAUGUUUUAAUUAGUGUUUGUGCCAAGUAGAACCUUUGGGAAGACUUCGGGAAAGUCUUUGCGAUCCUGCUGUAAAAAACAGAAACUUUAGCGCUCACGAGAAUUGCUGCCAUUUUUAUUUGGAGAGGGAUAUUUAGUUAAUUAUUUUUGAAGAUGAUUAAUAGAUAAAUUCCGUAGGUCCAGCAAUUUAUUUUAGAAUUUUAGGAGUUCCAGAAGUAUAUGUUUGAUCCAUAUUACUACAGACUGUUCUGUUUUUGACAGAUUCUGUUUUCGAUGUGUUGUUUGCUUAUUUUGAUGAAUCUAUGAGUAGUAUCGGAGGGUAUGAACCAUAUAUAAGUUGGAAUACAGUAGAUAUUACACUAAUAUGAAUUUAUAAUGAGUUCACAACAGUACCUAAGUGGUGAUUUAUUUUCUUAUACUAAUGGAGCUUACGAGUUUUCUGUUAAGUUUUGUGUUGCGAAGUUUUCAAGUUUUGGGUAAAGAUUCGAUGGACUAUGGAAUAAGGAGUGGCAAGAGCCUAAGCUUGGGGAUGCCCAAGGCACCCCAAGGUAAUAUUCAAGGACAACCAAAAGCCUAAGCUUGGGGAUGCCCCGGAAGGCAUCCCAUCUUUCGUCUUCGUUCAUCGGUUACUUUAGUUGGAGCUAUAUUUUUAUUCGCCACAUGAUAUGUGUUUUGCUUGGAGCGUCAUUUUAUUUUAUUUAGUUUUGCUUGAUGUUUGAAUAAAAUACCAAGAUCUGAAAUUCUUAAAUGUUAGAGAGUCUUCACAUAGUUGCAUAAUUAUUCGACUACUCAUUGAUCUUCACUUAUAUCUCUCGGAGUAGUUUGUCAUUUGGUCUAGUGCUUCACUUAUAUCCUUUUAGAGCACGGUGCUGGUUUUAUUUUAUAUAAAUAGAUGAACUCUCAUGCUUCACUUAUAUUAUUUUGAGAGUCUUUAAUAGCAUGGUAAUUUGCUUAAAUAAUCCUAAUAUGCUAGGUAUUCAAGAUUAGUAAAAAAAAUCUUAUGAGUGUUUUGAAUACUAAGAGAAGUUUGAUGCUUGAUGAUUGUUUCGAGAUAUGGAGGUAAUAAUAUCAAAGUCGUGCUAGUUGAGUAGUUGUGAAUUUGAGAAAUUCUUGUGUUGAAGGUUGCAAGUCUCGUAGCAUGCACGUAUGGUAAACAUUGUGUAACAAAUUUGAAACAUGAGGUGUUAUUUGAUUGUCUUCCUUAUGACUGGCGGUCAGUGACGAGCGAUGGUCCUUUCCUACCAAUCUAUCCCCCUAGGAGCAUGCGCGUAGUGCCAAGGUUUUUGAUGACUUGUACAUAUUUGCAAUAAGUAUGUGAGUUCUUUAUGACUAAUGUUGAGUCCAUGGAUUAUACGCACUCUCACCCUUCCAUCCUUGCUAGCCUCUUCAGUACCGUGCAUUGCCGUUUCUCACAUUGAGAGUUGGUGCAAACCUCGCCGGUGCAUACAAACCCCAUGAUAUGAUACGCUCUUUCACACAUAAACCUCCUUAUACAUUCCUCAAAACAUCCACCAUACCUACCUAUUAUGGCAUUUCCAUAGCCAUUCUGAGAUAUAUUUCCAUGCAACUUUCCACCAUUCUGUUUAUCAUCCAUGCAUCAUCAUUGUCAUACUGCUUUGCAUGAUCAUGUAGUUGACAUAGUAUUUGUGGCAAAGCCACCGUUCAUAAUUUUUCAUACAUGUCACUCUUGAUUCAUCGCAAUCCCGAUACACCGCCGGAGGCAUUCAUAUAGAGUCAUACUUUGUUCUAGUAUCGAGUUGUAAUCUUUGAGUUGUAAAUAAAUAGAAGUGUGAUGAUCAUCAUUAAUAGAGCAUUGUCCAAAAAAAGGUCAAAUAAAAAAAGGGAAAGGCCAAAAAAAAUAAAAAAAUAAAAGGGACAAUGCUACUAUCCUUUUUCCACACUUGUGCUUCAAAGUAGCACCAUGAUCUUUAUGAUAUAGAGUCUCUUGUUUUGUCACUUUCAUAUACUAGUGGGAAUUUUCAUUAUAGAACUUGGCUUGUAUAUUCCAACAAUGGGCCUCCUCAAGUGCCCUAGGUCUUCGUGAGCAAGCAAGUUGGAUGCACACCCACUUAGUUUCUUUUGUUGAGCUUUCAUACAUUUAUAGCUCUAGUGCAUCCGUUGCAUGGAAAUCCCUACUCCUUGCAUUAACAUCAAUCGAUGGGCAUCUCCAUAUCCCAUUGAUUAGCCUCGUUGUUGUGAGACUUUCUCCUUUUUUGCCUUCUCCACAUAACCCCCAUCAUCAUAUUCUAUUCCACCCAUAGUGCUAUGUCCAUGGCUCGCGCUCAUAUAUUGCGUGAAAGUUUAUAGGUUUGAGAUUACUAAAGUAUGAAACAAUUGCUUGGCUUGUCAUCGGGGUUGUGCAUGAUGAGAGCAUUCUUGUGUGACGAAAAUGGAGCAUGACUAAACUAUAUGAUUUUGUAGGGAUGAACUUUCUUUGGCCAUGUUAUUUUGAGAGGACAUAAUUGCUUAGUUAGUAUGCUUGAAGUAUUAUUAUUUUUAUGUCAAUAUGAACUUUUGUCUUGAAUCUUUUGGAUCUGGACAUUCAUACCACAAUUAAGAAGAUUUACAUUGAAAUUAUGCCAAGUAGCACUCCGCAUCAAAAAUUCAUUUUUAUCAUUUACCUACUCGAGGACGAGCAGGAAUUAAACUUGGGGAUGCUGGAUACGCCUCCAAUGUAUCUAUAAUUUUUUAUUGCUCCAUGCUAUAUUAUCUACUAUUUUGGACAAUAUUGGGCUUUAUUAUCCACUUUUAUAUUUUUUUUGGGACUAACCUAUUAACCGGAGGCCCAGCCCAGAAUUGAUGUUUUUUUCCUUUUUCAGUGUUUUGAAGAAAAGUAAUAUCAAACGGAGUUGAAACGGAAUGAAACCAACUCGAGAAGUUAUUUUUGGAAGGAAAGCUACCGGAAAAACUUGGAGUGCACGUCAGGAAAGGAACGAGGGAGCCACGAGGCAGGGGGCACCCCCUCCACCCUCGUGGGCCCCUAGUGGCUCCCCUGACGCACUUCUUUCACCCAUAUAUAUACCCACGUACCCUAAAACUAUCGAGGGGCAGAAUAGAUCGGGAGUUCCGCCGCCAGAAGCCUCCGUAGCCACCGAAAGCCAAUCUAGACCCGUUUCGGCACCCUGCCGGAGGGGGAAUCCUUCUCCGGUGGCCAUCUUCAUCAUCCCGGUGUUCUCCAUGACGAGGAGAGAGUAGUUCUUCCUCAGGGCUGAGGGUAUGCACCAGUAGCUAUGUGUUUGAUCUCUCUCUCUCUCUCUCGUGUUCUUGAGGUGGUACGAUCUUGAUGUAUCGCGAGCUUUGCUAUUAUAGUUGGAUCUUAUGAUCUUUUCUCCCCCCUCUACUCUCUUGUAAUGUAUUGAGUUUCCCCUUUGAAGUUAUCUUAUCGGAUUGAGUCUUUAAAGAUUUGAGAACACUUGAUGUAUGUCUUGCCGUGCGUAUCUGUGGUGACAAUGGGAUACCACGUGAAUCACUUGAUGCAUGUCUUGGUGAUCAACUUGCGGGUUCCGCCCAUGAACCUAUCCAUAGGGGUUGGCACACGUUUUCGUCGUGAUUCUCCGGUAGAAACUUUGGGGCAAUCUUUAAGGUUCUUUGUGUUGGUUGAAUAGAUGAAUCCGAGAUUGUGUGAUGCAUAUCGUAUAAUCAUACCCACGGAUACUUGAGGUGACAUUGGAGUAUCUAGGUGACAUUAGGGUUUUGGUUGAUUUGUGUCUUAAGGUGUUAUUCUAGUAUGAACUCUAGGGCUGUUUGUGACACUUAUAGGAAUACCCCACGGAUUGAUUGGAAAGAAUAACUUUGAGGUGGUUUCGUAUCCUACCAUAAUCUCUUCGUUUGUUCUCCGCUAUUAGUGACUUUGGAGUGACUCUUUGUUGCAUGUUUAGGGAUAGUUAUAUGAUCCAAUUAUGUUAUUAUUGCUGAGGGAACUUGCACUAGUGAAAGUAUGAACCCUAGGCCUUGUUUCAACGCAUUGCAAUACCAUUUACACUCACUUUUAUCAUUGGUUACCUUGCUGUUUUUAUAUUUUCAGAUUACCAAUACCUUUAUCUACCAUCCAUAUACCACUUAUAUCACCAUCUCUUCGCCGAACUAGUGCAUCUAUACAAUUUACCAUUGUAUUGGGUGUGUUGGGGACACAAGAGACUCUUUGUUAUUUGGUUGCAGGGUUGCUUGAGAGAGACCAUCUUCAUCCUACGCCUCCUACGGAUUGAUAAACAUUAGGUCAUCCACUUGAGGGAAAUUUGCUAGUGUCCUACAAACCACUGCACUUGGAGGCCCAACAACAUCUACAAAAAGAAGGUUGUGUAGUAGACAUCACCGAGCCUUCCACCCUUUACCAAGUAUAUAGGUACAUUAAAGUAAACAAGAUAUAAUAAUGAUAUCCCAACAAUAAACAUGUUCCAGCAAGGAACAAACUCCAUCUUCACCUGCAACUAGCAACGCUAUAAGAGAGGCUGAGCAAAGCGGUAACAUAGCCAAACAACGGUUUGCUAGGAAGGUGGAUUAGAGGCUUGACAUGGCAAUAUGGGAGGCGUGAUAUAGCAAGUGGUAGGUAUCGCGGCAUAGCAAAAGAGCGAGCAACUAGCAAGCAAAGAUAGAAGUGAUUUUGAGGGUAUGGUCAUCUUGCCUGAGAUCCCGCAAGGAAGAAGAACGAGUCCAUGAAGAAGACAAGCGGACGAAGUCGAACGAAUCCUCACAAACGCGACGUAAUCGGAAAUAACCCGAAGAAGCAACACCGGAAAGUAGCAAACAACAUGGUAAACAACCAUCACAUAAUCAUGGCAUGAGCACAAUCAAGUAUGAUGCAGGUCCGGUUUAAUGAUUCAUGGCAUGGCAUGGCAAAGUGCACAAACAAUACUACAAAUUAAGUGGAGCUCAAUAUGCAACGAGGUGCAUAUUAA